GAUGGCCUGAAAGGUCAAAUGGCAACACACACCUUGACUGGCAAGAUGGCGGCGAGCAGAAAACCCAAUUCUCCUCCCUCUACUUUCACACAGAGAGCUGGACCCCUACAGGCAAGACUCGUGUGGCUUCCCAAGCUCUGAUGUUCCCCCUGAAUAUUGAAUGAGCAACAUUUGAUAGUAAACUUGACUAAAAGUAGCUUUUUAAAAAAUCAUGUCUUCGGCAGAUUCCCAAACUCUGUACCCGACUGUAGCUUUGGCACAGUAGCGGGGAAGGCUAGGCGACAUUCCAGCUCAUGUUUAUGCAGAAGCGCUCCCUACAGAAAAUACAUGCACUCGCUAUGAACCCUGGGUAGGCUGUUCUGGUGAAAAUGGUUCUAGCUGGACAUCGCUGGUCAAAUAUUAAUGGCCUCACUUUCUGUGAACUGCAUUUUCCAUGAAAAACAUGAUAUAAAAUGGAUCAUAACAGUGAAACUGUCAUAAUCGUCUUCAGAUACAGCAUAAAAAGUA